CUUCUUAUUCCGGAAUAAUCAUUCUGUCUACUCGAUUGGUUUGGUAUGUUAAGCUUAGAAAGCCUUCUCAGCCUCCCGCGCCAAAGAGGGAAGAAUAGCAUUCCGGUAUGGCGUCGAGCAGUGACAAUCAACCAGCGAACACAGUUUCAUUUACAACGGACAGUGGAAACACUGUUGUUUUAAAACUGGAUGAUGAGACUGAAAAACCUUAAGAAUAAUGAUCCCAAUACAAUUAACUUAGUACUUCAGCUAGUCACGGAACAGGAAGAAUCUGGUGAGACUAAAAUGGAGGAGCCAAAACCUUGUGGAGAGGCUGCCACUUCCUUAUGUUCCUAGACUAAAGAGAGAACCAAACUCCUAUUAAAUGAAUAUAAAGAGAGAUAUUCACUAUUCAAUAGCCCAGCCCAGAGAAGAAAACUUUAUGGAUGGAUAUUUGCCAAGUGAUCAAUGCAGAAACGCAAUCAACAUUCAACAGCCAGAAAGUGGAAGGAAGAUUUAAAACAGUGCUUUCAUCGUGCAGAAAGUACAAGGAUGCACAAAAAAGAACAGGUCCGAGAGAAAGGAAUACGAAUUUGCAUCUGAAAUGGAGGAAAUAUUUGGAAGCAGUCAUUCCACAAACCCAGCUUUUGUUGUAGAAAGUAGUUCAACAAGUACCUCUACACCAAAAAACCCAGAAGAGCAAUACCAAAGAACUAAGUCCUAGUAGUAGCAGUGAUAGAGCUGACAAUAAUGAAGAAUCAAGAUUAAGUAAGGAUAAUAAAAAGCAAAUUCAUGAAGGGAAGUCAGGGGAGAGAAAAAGAAAGCAUCAUCGCACAUCAGGUGCAUCUCAGUUGAUAGAUUUUCUUAAAUAUUACACAGAGAAACGAAGGAGGAAGAGGAUAGACGACGUGCAGAGACGAUGCACAAAGAGCAGAUGAAAGUGCUUUCAGGACUGACAAGUGUUCUUGACAAGCUUGCAGAUGCAGCUGCAAAGAAGUAGUAAUGCAUAAUAUAUCUGCAAUUAGAGGGACAUUUUUUUUAAGUUGUCCAUUCACUGUUCAAGAUUUAAAGUUUUUUGUUGACGAUGGAGAAGUUGAAAUCAUCCCGUUUGUCAUACAGUUGAGUUGUCAGUUUGCCGUUAAAGCUGACAUGAAUUAAUAAAUAUAGUAUAAUUCUA